rnacentral:tRNA from 1 species
GGGGCAGUAGCUCAGUUGGUAGAGCACCACAAUGGCAUUGUGGGGGUCAGGGGUUCAACUCCCCUCUGCUCCACCA